UGAGGAAUAUUGGUCAAUGGACGAGAGUCUGAACCAGCCAAGUAGCGUGCAGGAUGACGGCCCUAUGGGUUGUAAACUGCUUUUGUUUGGGAAUAAUCGACAUUACGUGUAAUGUUUUGCAUGUACCAUUCGAAUAAGGACCGGCUAAUUCCGUGCCAGCAGCCGCGGUAAUACGGAAGGUCCAGGCGUUAUCCGGAUUUAUUGGGUUUAAAGGGAGUGUAGGCGGUUGGUUAAGCGUGUUGUGAAAUGUAGAUGCUCAACAUCUGACUUGCAGCGCGAACUGGCUGACUUGAGUACGCACAACGUAGGCGGAAUUCAUGGUGUAGCGGUGAAAUGCUUAGAUAUCAUGAAGAACUCCGAUUGCGAAGGCAGCUUACGGGAGUGUUACUGACGCUUAAGCUCGAAGGUGCGGGUAUCGAACAGG
rnacentral:rRNA from 1 species